GAUGAACGCUGGCGGUAUGCUUAACACAUGCAAGUCGAACGGUACCUUCGGGUAUAGUGGCGGACGGGUGAGUAACGCGUGAGAAUCUAUCUUCAGGCCGGGGACAACAGUUAGAAAUGACUGCUAAUACCGGAUGUGCCGAAAGUUAAAAGAUUUAUUGCCUGAAAAAGAGCUCGCGUCAGAUUAGCUAGUAGGUGGUGUAAGAGACUACCUAGGCUUCGAUCUGUAGCUGGUCUGAGAGGACGAUCAGCCACACUGGAACUGGGACACGGUCCAGACUCGUACGGAAGGGAGCAGUGGGGAAUUUUACGCAAUGGGCGAAAGCCUGACGGAGCAAUACCGCGUGAGGGACGAAGGCUCUUGGGUCGUAAACCUCGUUUCUAAAGGAAGAUUCAGACGGUACUUGAGGAAUAAGCAUCGGCUAACUCUGUG
rnacentral:rRNA from 1 species